UGCAGUCGGACGGCAGCACAGAGAAGCUUGCUUCUUGGGUGGCGAGUGGCGAACGGGUGAGUAACAUAUCGGAACGUACCGAGUAGUGGGGGAUAACUAAUCGAAAGAUUAGCUAAUACCGCAUACGUCUUGAGAGAGAAAGCAGGGGACCUUCGGGCCUUGCGCUAUUCGAGCGGCCGAUAUCUGAUUAGCUAGUUGGUGGGGUAAAGGCCUACCAAGGCGACGAUCAGUAGCGGGUCUGAGAGGAUGAUCCGCCACACUGGGACUGAGACACGGCCCAGACUCCUACGGGAGGCAGCAGUGGGGAAUUUUGGACAAUGGGCGCAAGCCUGAUCCAGCCAUGCCGCGUGUCUGAAGAAGGCCUUCGGGUUGUAAAGGACUUUUGUCAGGGAAGAAAAGGCGAUUGCUAAUAUCGAUUGCUGAUGACGGUACCUGAAGAAUAAGCACCGGCUAACUACGUGCCAGCAGCCGCGGUAAUACGUAGGGUGCGAGCGUUAAUCGGAAUUACUGGGCGUAAAGCGAGCGCAGACGGUUACUUAAGCAGGAUGUGAAAUCCCCGGGCUCAACCUGGGAACUGCGUUCUGAACUGGGUAGCUAGAGUGUGUCGGAGGGAGGUAGAAUUCCACGUGUAGCAGUGAAAUGCGUAGAGAUGUGGAGGAAUACCGAUGGCGAAGGCAGCCUCCUGGGAUAACACUGACGUUCAUGCUCGAAAGCGUGGGUAGCAAACAGGAUUAGAUACCCUGGUAGUCCACGCCCUAAACGAUGUCAAUUAGCUGUUGGGCAACUUGAUUGCUUAGUAGCGUAGCUAACGCGUGAAAUUGACCGCCUGGGGAGUACGGUCGCAAGAUUAAAACUCAAAGGAAUUGACGGGGACCCGCACAAGCGGUGGAUGAUGUGGAUUAAUUCGAUGCAACGCGAAGAACCUUACCUGGUCUUGACAUGUACGG
rnacentral:rRNA from 1 species